CGAACGAUGAACCACUUCGGUGGGGAUUAGUGGCGAACGGGUGAGUAACACGUGGGCAAUCUGCCCUGCACUCUGGGACAAGCCCUGGAAACGGGGUCUAAUACCGGAUAUGAGCCUGGGAGGCAUCUCCCGGGUUGUAAAGCUCCGGCGGUGCAGGAUGAGCCCGCGGCCUAUCAGCUUGUUGGUGAGGUAGUGGCUCACCAAGGCGACGACGGGUAGCCGGCCUGAGAGGGCGACCGGCCACACUGGGACUGAGACACGGCCCAGACUCCUACGGGAGGCAGCAGUGGGGAAUAUUGCACAAUGGGCGAAAGCCUGAUGCAGCGACGCCGCGUGAGGGAUGACGGCCUUCGGGUUGUAAACCUCUUUCAGCAGGGAAGAAGCGAAAGUGACGGUACCUGCAGAAGAAGCGCCGGCUAACUACGUGCCAGCAGCCGCGGUAAUACGUAGGGCGCAAGCGUUGUCCGGAAUUAUUGGGCGUAAAGAGCUCGUAGGCGGCUUGUCACGUCGAUUGUGAAAGCCCGAGGCUUAACCUCGGGUCUGCAGUCGAUACGGGCUAGCUAGAGUGUGGUAGGGGAGAUCGGAAUUCCUGGUGUAGCGGUGAAAUGCGCAGAUAUCAG
rnacentral:rRNA from 1 species